UACGGAGGAUGCAAGCGUUAUCCGGAUUUAUUGGGUCUAAAGGGUGCGCAGGCGGCUUGUUAAGCGUGAGGUGAAAUGCCCGGGCUCAACCUGGGAAUUGCCUCGCGAACUGGCUGGCUUGAAUGCCCCUGCCGUGGGAGGAAUGUGUGGUGUAGCGGUGAAAUGCAUAGAGAUCACACAGAACACCGAUUGCGAAGGCAUCUCACGAAGGGGUGAUUGACGCUGAGGCACGAAAGCGUGGGGAUCAAGC
rnacentral:rRNA from 1 species